GACGAACGCUGGCGGCGUGCUUAACACAUGCAAGUCGAACGAAGUGGCGAACGGGUGAGUAACGCGUAAUCAACCUGCCCUUCAGAGGGGGACAACAGUUGGAACCGACUGCUAAUACCGCAUACUGAAGGAGGGGAUUGCGUCGGAUUAGCUCGUUGGGGGGGUAACGGCCCACCAAGGCGAUGGUCAGUAGCCGGGCUGGAGAGAUGGACGGCCCAAAUGGGACUGGGGAACGGCCCAGACUCCUACGGGAGGCAGCAGUGGGGAAACUUCCGAAAUGGACGAAAGUCUGGCGGAGCAAAGCCGCGUGAGUGAUGAAGGCCUUCGGGUUGUAAAGCUCUGUUAAUCGGGACGCGGUACCGGAAUAGAAAGCCACGGCUAACUACGUGCCAGCAGCCGCGGUAAUUC
rnacentral:rRNA from 1 species